rnacentral:rRNA from 1 species
GACGAACGCUGGCGGCGUGCUUAACACAUGCAAGUCGAACGGAAAGGCCCUGCUUUUGUGGGGUGCUCGAGUGGCGGUCGGGUGAGUAACACGUGAGUAACCUGCCCUUGACUUUGGGAUAACUUCAGGAAACUGGGGCUAAUACCGGAUAGGAGCUCCUGCUGCAUGGUGGGGGUUGGAAAGUUUCGGCGGUUGGGGAUGGACUCGCGGCUUAUCAGCUUGUUGGUGGGGUAGUGGCUUACCAAGGCUUUGACGGGUAGCCGGCCUGAGAGGGUGACCGGCCACAUUGGGACUGAGAUACGGCCCAGACUCCUACGGGAGGCAGCAGUGGGGAAUAUUGCACAAUGGGCGGAAGCCUGAUGCAGCAACGCCGCGUGCGGGAUGACGGCCUUCGGGUUGUAAACCGCUUUCGCCUGUGACGAAGCGUGAGUGACGGUAAUGGGUAAAGAAGCACCGGCUAACUACGUG